rnacentral:rRNA from 1 species
UACAGAGGUGCCAAGCGUUAGGCGGAAUCACUGGGCUUAAAGCGCGUGUAGGUGGACGGGUAAGUAUCUUGUGAAAUCCCACGGCUCAACCGUGGAACUGCUGGAUAUACUGCUUGUCUUGAGGCAUUCAGGGGCAACCGGAACAAAUGGUGGAGCGGUGAAAUGCGUAGAUAUCAUUUGGAACGCCUAUGGUGAAAACAGGUUGCUGGGGAUGUUCUGACACUGAGACGCGAAAGCCAGGGGAGCAAACGGG